rnacentral:rRNA from 1 species
UGGCGACCGGCGCACGGGUGCGUAACGCGUAUGCAACCUACCUGUAACAGGGGGAUAACACUGAGAAAUCGGUACUAAUACCGCAUAACACUAUGAGAGGCAUCUCUUGUGGUUGAAAGUUUCGGCGGUUACAGAUGGGCAUGCGUUGUAUUAGCUGGUUGGUAAGGUAACGGCUUACCAAGGCGACGAUACAUAGGGGGACUGAGAGGUUAACCCCCCACAUUGGUACUGAGACACGGGCCAAACUCCUACGGAAGGCAGCAG